rnacentral:rRNA from 1 species
AAAUUAGAGUGUUCAAAGCAGGCAGAUCCAAUUUUCUGCCACCGAAUACAUUAGCAUGGGAUAAUGGAAUAGGACCCUGUCCUCCUAUUUUCAGUUGGUUUUGGCAGCGCGAGGACUAGGGUAAUGAUUAAUAGGGAUAGUUGGGGGCAUUAAUAUUUAAUUGUCAGAGGUGAAAUUCUUGGAUUUAUGAAAGAUUAACUUCUGCGAAAGCAUCUGCCAAGGAUGUUUUCAUUAAUCAAGAACGAAAGUUAGGGGAUCGAAGACGAUCAGAUACCGUCGUAGUCUUAACCAUAAACGAUGCCGACCAGCGAUUAGGAGACGUUGAAUACAAAACACCACCAUCGGCGCGGUCGUCCUUGGCGUCGGUCCUUCACGGGGCCGGCGCGAGGGCGGCUUAGCCCGGUGGCACCGGUGAAUGACUCCCCUAGCAGCUUGUGAG